CCUACGGGUGGCAGCAGUGAGGAAUAUUGGUCAAUGGGCGGAAGCCUGAACCAGCCAAGUCGCGUGAGGGACUAAGGCCCUACGGGUCGUAAACCUCUUUAGCCGGGGAUCAGUGCCCAGCUCGCGAGCUGGGAGGGAGCGUACCCGGAGAAAAAGCAUCGGCUAACUCCGUGCCAGCAGCCGCGGUAAUACGGAGGAUGCGAGCGUUAUCCGGAUUUAUUGGGUGUACAGGGCGUGUAGGCGGGAAAGCAAGUCAGAUGUGAAAACCAUGGGCUCAACCUGUGGCCUGCAUUUGAAACUGUUUUUCUUGAGUACUGGAGAGGCAGACGGAAUUCCUAGUGUAGCGGUGAAAUGCGUAGAUAUUAGGAGGAACACCAGUGGCGAAGGCGGUCUGCUGGACAGCAACUGACGCUGAGGCGCGAAAGCGUGGGGAGCAAACAGGAUUAGAUACCCCGGUAGUC
rnacentral:rRNA from 1 species